GUAAGUAUAGUUUAACCAAAACAUUAGAUUGUGAUUCUAAAGACAGGAGUUAAAGUCCCCUUACUCACC
rnacentral:tRNA from 1 species